UAAAAACCUCUCUUCUGUGUCUCAUCCCAACGAGUAAACAAGCACAUAGCAGAUGCGAAUGGCGGGGCGCUACAGAUCUCUAUCGAGGUCAGUGCUUUCCGAGGCCAGAGCCUCAUCGAUCAGCAGCAAAAAGGGUUUUGCUGACAAUGUUAGCAAUGAUGGUGGGAAUGGUGGCGGCGGCAGCAGCAGCAGCAGUGAUACUUCCAUCAAGUUAUAAAGCUGGUUACCUUCUGGCUUUUUGGUUCAAGCUCAAGCCUCAUGGAGUAGACAGAAUUCAUAUACCUAACAAAUAACCUGAAGAAUAUUACAGAAUAUGCCUAUUACCACUAAUAUUCUUUGGUCCAUUUAUGAGUUCCAUAGAAACCACAGAACUACCCAAUUAAAUCAAGCUUUCUAAAAGCUACUAAAUUUGGUUGAUACUUGAUAGCCAGAUUAUAUUGUAUCAUAUAACAAGUUGUAAGCUUUUUAAAAGUUAGUACAUUUGCUUGAUACUUGAUGGAGUCUUCCACAACCUGAUUGUAUUGUAUUAUCUAACAAGUUGUCAGUCACUAUUUCCACCCCCUUCCCUUCUCUCUUUCUCUCUCCUUAUGUAUGUAUAAUAUAUAUGUAUCUAGGUACAUACGUGUAAUUGUUGAUGUUACUCUCGAAUCUGCAGUUUCAUGAUGUCUAUUGUUGUUUGAUCACUUGGGUUCUUUAUGAAACCAAGUAGUUUGGCUUGA